UGAGACACGGACCCAGGCCCUAUGGGGCGCAGCAGGGCGAGAAACCUUUGCCAUGUGCGAUAAGCACGACAAGGUUAAUCCGAGUGUCUCCUGCUAAAGGAGUCUUUUGCCAGUCCUAGAAACACUGGUGAAUAAGGGGUGGGCAAGUUCUGGCGUCAGCCGCCGCGGUAAAACCAGCACCUCGAGUGGUCAGGAGGUUUAUUGGGCCUAAAGCAUCCGUAGCCGGUUGUUUAAGUUUUCGGUUAAAUCUAUGCGCUUAACGUAUAGGCCGCCGAAAAUACUGGACAGCUAGGGAGUGGGAGAGGUACACGGUACUCAAUAGGAAGGGGUAAAAUCCUUUGAUCUAUUGAUGACCACCUGUGGCGAAGGCGGUGUACCAGAACACGUUCGACGGUGAGGGAUGAAAGCUGGGGGAGCAAACCGGAUUAGAUACCCGGGUAGUCCCAGCUGUAAACGAUGCAGACUCGGUGAUGCAUUGGCUUGUGGCCAAUGCAGUGCCGCAGGGAAGCCGUUAAGUCUGCCGCCUGGGAAGUACGUACGCAAGUAUGAAACUUAAAGGAAUUGGCGGGGGAGCACCACAAGGGGUGAAGCCUGCGGUUCAAUUGGAGUCUACGCCAGAAAUCUUACCCGGGGCGACAGCAGAAUGAAGGUCAAGCUGAAGACUUUACCAGACACGCUGAGAGGUGGUGCAUGGCCGUCGCCAGCUCGUGCCGUGAGAUGUCCUGUUAAGUCAGGUAACGAGCGAGACCCCUGCGUCUAGUUGCUACCAUUCCUCUCUGGAGUAGUGGAGCGAAUUAGACGGACCGCCACAGUUAAUGUGGAGGAAGGAAGGGGCCACGGCAGGUCAGUAUGCCCCGAAACCCUGGGGCCACACGCGGGCUGCAAUGGUAUUGACAAUGUGUUCCGAAUCCGAAAGGAGGAGGCAAUCAUCAAACGAUACCUCAGUUAUGACUGAGGGCUGCAACUCGUCCCUCACGAAUAUGGAAUCCCUAGUAACUGUCGUCGUCACUACCGUCGCGUGUGUAAUACGUUCCCUGUCUCCUUGUCACACACCGUCCCGUCGUUUCAUUGGAGUUGGUCCUUUAGUGAGUGUAGUGUCUUGUUUGUGUCAUUAUCGAGUCUUGUA
rnacentral:rRNA from 1 species